rnacentral:rRNA from 1 species
AUGAACGCUGGCGGCGUGCUUAACACAUGCCAGUCGAACGGAAAGGCCCAAGCUUGCUUGGGUACUCGAGUGGCGAACGGGUGAGUAACACGUGGGUGAUCUGCCCUGCACUUCGGGAUAAGCCUGGGAAACUGGGUCUAAUACCGGAUAGGACCCCAUUUUGGAUGGUGUGGUGGAAAGUUUUUCGGUGUGGGAUGAGCUCGCGGCCUAUCAGCUUGUUGGUGGGGUAAUGGCCUACCAAGGCGUCGACGGGUAGCCGGCCUGAGAGGGUGUACGGCCACAUUGGGACUGAGGUACGGCCCAGACUCCUACGGGAGGCAGCAGUGGGGAAUAUUGCACAAUGGGCGCAAGCCGGAUGCAGCGGCGCCGCGUGGGGGAAGACGGCCUUCGGGUUGUAAACUCCUUUCGCUAGGGACGAAGCGUUAUGUGACGGUACCUGGAGAAGAAGCACCGGCUAACUACGUG